AGUACGUGAAACCGCUUAGGGGUUAAGCCCGAUGAACCCGAAUAUCUGAUGUGAGAAAUUCAAUACGAUUCAAAUUCAUAUUUUUAUAUUGGAUUUGUAUAGUAUGCACUUUUCUCAUAGUAAGACAUUGUAAUCCAUUGAUAUUAUAUUUCAGAUAUGAGAUGAUUUAACAUACGGACAAAAUGUUUAUGAUUAUUCUAUCAGUGAUAUGUUUACAUGUCAUAUGAAUAAAAUCGUUUUGUUUCCUGUUUAAAUAGUCGAUGGAUUUUUCAUUGAAAUCAUGCUUGCAAUUUAUUUUGCGUUUCGUAUCAUUAAUUUUUAAUUGUUGAUAGCAGAAAUGGCAUGUAUUCGAUUAACAAUGCGAUAGAUUUGGGAUACUUUCAGGACCCGUCUUGA
rnacentral:rRNA from 1 species